AGCGAACGCUGGCGGCAGGCCUAACACAUGCAAGUCGAACGAACCUUUCGGGGUUAGUGGCGGACGGGUGAGUAACACGUGGGAACGUGCCUUUAGGUUCGGAAUAACUCAGGGAAACUUGUGCUAAUACCGAAUGUGCCCUUCGGGGGAAAGAUUAAUCGCCUUUAGAGCUGCCCGCGUCUGAUUAGCUAGUUGGUUGAGGUAAUGGCUCACCAAGGCGACGAUCAGUAGCUGGUCUGAGAGGAUGAUCAGCCACAUUGGGACUGAGACACGGCCCAAACUCCUACGGGAGGCAGCAGUGGGGAAUCUUGCGCAAUGGGCGAAAGCCUGACGCAGCCAUGCCGCGUGAAUGAUGAAGGUCUUAGGAUUGUAAAAUUCUUUCACCGGGGACGAUAAUGACGGUACCCGGAGAAGAAGCCCCGGCUAACUUCGUG
rnacentral:rRNA from 1 species